rnacentral:misc_RNA from 1 species
CAGAGUUGCAAAACUCCCACAAACCAUCGCGAAUCUUACCCGUACGGUUGCCUCGGCGCUGGCGGCCGGAAGGCCCUCGGGCCCCCCGGAUCCUCGGGUCUCCCGCUCGCGGGAGGCUGCCCGCCGGAGUGCCGAAACCAAACUCUUGAUAUUUUAUGUCUCUCUGAGUAAACUUUUAAAUAAGUCA